rnacentral:lncRNA from 1 species
AUUUACUGGGUAUCUACUAUAUGUCAAGCACUGUUUAGGUCCUGGGGAUAUGUCAGUGAACUGAACGAAAGAGCAGAGUCCCUGCUGUGUGGCGUCCACAUGUGCUGACAUCUGCUGGGUAAGAGGCACAGGGGAGGGAAUACAGAGCAGAUGGUUGCAAAUGCUGUGGGGAAAAAGCAGAGUGAGGGAGGCGGGGAGUGCUGAGGACAAUGGUAGUGGGGGUCCGGGGAGGCUUCUCAAUGGGGAAGUUUGAGCAGUGAGGGAUACCUAGGGGAAGAGCUCCAGGCAGAUAGAUCCUGAUGCAGGAGCAUGCCUGGAGCAGUCAAGGAACAAGAUCACACUGAGGAUGUGGUAUUUGAGCAGAGACCUGAAAAGAGUGAAAGAAUGAAUCAUGUCCAUAGGGAAGAACAUUCCAGGCAGAGGGAACAACAAAAGUACAAAGGUUCUCAGGUAGAACUUUGAGGGAACAACAAAGGAGACCAGGAGGCCUGGGGAACAAUGAGUAAGGCAGAGAGGGAACAGAGGCUUGUAGGCCACUGUGCGGACUUUGGCGUUUAGUCUGAGCUGGGGACCCACUGGAGGAUUCUGAGCAGAGCAGUGACAUGAUUGCGCUUACAUUUUUAAGACUUACUCUGGCUGCUGUGUUGAGAACAGAUGACCAUGGGGCAUAGACAGAAGCAGAAAGGUUGGCUGGAGGAAACGGAGAGAAAAUUUACAUCUGGUGGAGCAUAAAGAAACCAGCUAGAGGACUGGCCUUGUCAUUAUCUAACUGUGUUGUGACGAACUGGCACUUCCUCAUCUCUAAAAGCAGGGCCCUGAACUAGAAGACCGCCACGUCACAUGAUGAAAAACACUCAAACUAACACUUCUUACCCUUGUGAGCAGCCCUACUAGCAGAUUUAAUGUGGGAGGAGGUUCACACUACGGGAUAAAAAUCAAGUUUUAGGAUUCCAUUUUAUCUAAGCUGACCACCACAAGGCAGAGGAUCAAGACUUAGCUAAAUACAGCCCUCAGGCAAGCUUCACUUCCCCAUCUGUGAAGGGAGAAUAAAUACACAUGUUAAGAUAAAUGAGAGAGCUGGUCAAGUGUUUCGAGCUCUUUGGCAGACAAGCCUGACUUUCCAAAAAAAGACAAACCACAACUUCGGAGCCAGUGCUAUUUCUUCUGUGCAUGGUGAGGUGACUUCCCCAGUUGUAAAGGAUUUAGAGCUGAAAUUCCAUAUUGUCUGGAGCUAUAAUUACAAGUCUCUUGCACUAAAACAGAGGUCAGCUGGCCUAAAGCAUGCUGAAAGAAGGUAAAUGUCUGGUCACAUUUCCAUGUGGUAUACUCCUUUCCUAACUUUUUGGCACAAAUUUCAUGUUGAUAGAACAUUCAUUCACUCCACAAAUAUCUGGCAAGUAGGUGCUGAGUGCUGUGUAUAGACGAGUGAACACAACACAGACCCUGCCCUCAUUCUGUGUAGAGGACAGCAGAGGAGUAGGCACAGGGCUCUCAGCUAGGGCAGUACCACCCUAUGUCUGGGGGGCAUUUCGGACAUUUGGGAGGUGCUGUCAAUUGCCAAAAUGAAUGGGGAAACUCUGCUAGCAUUUAAGGGUGGGAGCCGUGGUGCCACAAUGACCUGUAUGAGGAAAACCAGCUCCAGGCCCGCAUGACUAGUGAGUGUACUGCUAGACAUUCAUAAACAUGAAAAACUCUUUUGUGGGAAAACAGCCUGUUGCAUAGCAAGAGUGAUCCAUCUUGAAGUAAAACUGCCAUGAUGACCAAUGUUUGACGCCUACAAUUCAAGGUGGUCCAGUAGCACAGAUAAGCCCUCACAACCUCCCCGUGGUCAUGAGUUUCUAAAGGAAGUCAGGGAUGAUGAGCUUCCUGUGUCUUUACCCUAAAAGCUUGCUAUAUAAAGGAUACUUUCUGGAGGUUGGUUGUGAGAAUCCACCAUCUCUUGGCCUACCUAGACAUCGUUUCUGUUUCUAAGUCUCUAUUAAAUAUUUCUUUCUGAGAAACUGGAUUUGUCAGUCUCUU